UACGUAGGGGGCUAGCGUUGUCCGGAAUCAUUGGGCGUAAAGCGCGUGUAGGCGGCCUUGUAAGUCCGUUCUGAAAGCCCGGGGCUCAACCCCGGGAGGCGGAUGGAUACUGCAAGGCUCGAGUCCGGAAGAGGCAAGUGGAAUUCCCGGUGUAGCGGUGAAAUGCGCAGAUAUCGGGAGGAACACCAAUGGCGAAGGCAGCUCGCUGGGACGGUACUGACGCUGAGACGCGAAAGCGUGGGGAGCAAACAGG
rnacentral:rRNA from 1 species